rnacentral:snRNA from 1 species
AUACUUACCUGGCAGUGGAAAUAGCAGGAUCACAGAGGUGGUUUUCUUAGUGCUUUAUCCAUUGCACUGAGGAUGUGCUGACCACAAUGAUUUCCCCAAAUGUGGAAAACUCAACUGCAUAAUUUGUGGUAGUAGGGGACUACAUUCAAACUCUUC